rnacentral:tRNA from 1 species
CAAAAUAUAGCUUAACCAAAGCUCCUUGCUUACACCAAGAUUAUAUCUGUUAAACCCAGAUUAUUUUGAG